GAAGAGAGGGAAAGAAAGGAAGAACAAACCCUAGGUGAGGAAUUUCAAGAGAAAAAGUGUGGAAAAUCAAGGAAAACAAGUGAAAAAGGUAAGAUUUUUCAACUUAAGCUUGAAAUCUAUUGUCCUUAAGCAUUUCUCCUUAUUUUCCAUGCUUAAAUUACAUGUUUUUAUGAUCAAUUGUUGGCUGAUCAAAAUGGGUAUGGAGAGAGAAAGUUGUUGGAUUGAUUUGAUUUUAAGUUAUGUUAGUGUUUUUGGUUAGUUUAGCAUAUUUAGAAACAAAACAAUAAGAAAAGAAUUUAUUUUCUCCAACCACCAUCAAUGGCCGAAUUUACCAUGUGUUGAGUGGGGAUGAAUUUGAUUUUUAUUCUGGGAGAAUUGGUUAGAAAAUGAUGAAUUAUGGUGUGAAAAAGUAGUAGGAAAAAUCACGGUGUUAAUGCACCAUUAUUGGCCGAAAAUUUUAAGAAGAAAAGUGAAGAUAGUUUUGCCAAAUUUUAGGUUAUUUGAAUUGAGUUUGGUGAAUUAAGAUAUUGGAAAAGAAUUGAAACAAUUUGGAGUAAUUUGGGAUUAAAUUGGACAUGUUAGUAAUUUAAUCGGGUGAUAAGACGAAUUAGGCCAAUACCGGGUUUAAAUAGUUACCAGUGCAUUUUUGCAUUCCAUAUCAUGCAUUAGUAGUCUAAAUUAGUUUAAUUUCAAUUUAGUACCAAUGUAGUGAGUUUCUCAAUUUUGUAUUGUGUCAAGGUGGCGAGUCCUCCGAUAAAGGCAAGGGAAUUGCAUUCGAGGACCAGUAGUCUGAGUAUUUCGAGAAUUGGCACUCUAGACAUUGUGAGUAAACUUACUGUCAUUUUAAUUAUCUAGGGUGAUUUUUAGAUGAUUUCAUUAAUUCUAUGGAAAAAUGGAUUUAAAAAGGUAAAUUUUCAUGUUUUAUGAAUAAAGGUGUUCCAAUGAAAUUAAUUUAUAAAUUGUUUUGAAAUUAAUAGUGAUUUUGAAAAAUAGAGUACACGGAGACUAUUAAUUGUGGUAAUUUGAUUGUUUAAAUUGAUUGGCUUAUGAUAAAUCGGGCAUGAUUGGCUAGUUGGUAAUUGUGUUGAAAUACGAAUUGUUUGGUUACCUUGAAAGACUGCGAAUUACAAAAUUGCCAUAUCAUGUUAUUGAGUUUUAUUGUAUGGUAGAUUAUAUAUUAAUUAAUCACUGCAGUAGGGGGUUUCUGUGGACCAGUCUUUUAGAGGGGCACGGUAAACCCCAUUAUAUUCUUACCUUGAAUGGAGAGGCGCGUAGGGUAUCUCUUGGGGUAAAGCUUAGGGUUCACUUCAUGCCAAACCAUUACAUGAGGGGGAACUCAGCCAACGCCAAGGAACGACUAUGUUUUCAAAACAAAAACAUGAUUUAUGUGAAAUGUGAAUUUUAAUAGCCUUGGCGGUCUCGGUAGGAUGCCUCGGCCAAGGUGUCCCUGAGAAUGGAUUUAUGGCACAAGCUUAGUUUUUAUGAAAUUCAUAAGCCUCUUCACGUAUUUUAAAUGAAAUGUAUUCUAAUACUGUGACUCAGUUUACGAUGAUUUACUUUAUUGUCUCCAUGUACUCAACUCUAGAUGUUUAUGAUGAUGUCUGUUUACUCAUUGGGAUUUUAUAAUCUCACCACCCUCCUUUCCACCCAUUUCAGGUUCAGUAUAGACUGUAGAUAGCUGAUCUCAUCGAGGACUACCGUUGGAUCUACAUUUUCCAAACCGUAGGUUCACAGUCCUCUUUACUUUUGUUUAUUCGGGGGCCCUCUUGUUAUUGUAAAUUAAAUUAAAUAUUUUGGCUUACUGUAUUACAGUAUGUAUAAAUU
rnacentral:lncRNA from 1 species